rnacentral:rRNA from 1 species
CAGGUCGACGAUUCCUACGGGAGGCAGCAGUGGGGAAUUUUGGACAAUGGGGGAAACCCUGAUCCAGCCAUCCCGCGUGUGCGAUGAAGGCCUUCGGGUCGUAAAGCACUUUUGGCAGGAAAGAAACGUCAUGGGUUAAUACCCCGUGAAACUGACGGUACCUGCAGAAUAAGCACCGGCUAACUACGUG